rnacentral:rRNA from 1 species
GAUGAACGCUGGCGGCGUGCCUAAUACAUGCAAGUCGAGCGAACAGACGAGGAGCUUGCUCCUCUGACGUUAGCGGCGGACGGGUGAGUAACACGUGGAUAACCUACCUAUAAGACUGGGAUAACUUCGGGAAACCGGAGCUAAUACCGGAUAAUAUAUUGAACCGCAUGGUUCAAUAGUGAAAGACGGUUUUGCUGUCACUUAUAGAUGGAUCCGCGCCGCAUUAGCUAGUUGGUAAGGUAACGGCUUACCAAGGCAACGAUGCGUAGCCGACCUGAGAGGGUGAUCGGCCACACUGGAACUGAGACACGGUCCAGACUCCUACGGGAGUCAGCAGUAGGGAAUCUUCCGCAAUGGGCGAAAGCUUGACGGAGCAACGCCGCGUGAGUGAUGAAGGUCUUCGGAUCGUAAAACUCUGUUAUUAGGGAAGAACAAAAGUGUAAGUAACUAUGCACGUCUUGACGGUACCUAAUCAGAAAGCCACGGCUAACUACGUG